GAUGAAGAACGCAGCGAAAUGCGAUAAGUAAUGUGAAUUGCAGAAUUCAGUGAAUCAUCGAAUCUUUGAACGCACAUUGCGCCGCCUGGUAGUCCGGGGGGCAUGCCUGUUCGAGCGUCAUUUCACCACUCAAGCCUCGCUUGGUAUUGGGCAACGCGGUCCGCCGCGUGCCUCAAAUCGACCGGCUGGGUCUUCUGUCCCCUAAGCGUUGUGGAAACUAUUCGCUAAAGGGUGUUCGGGAGGCUACGCCGUAAAACAACCCCAUUUCUAAGGUUGACCUCGGAUCAGGUAGGGAUACCCGCUGAACUUAAGCAUAUCAAUAAGCGGAGGA
rnacentral:misc_RNA from 1 species